CCAAAAAACGGGUGAAUCGUUCAGGAAAUUCUUCUAUUGUUUAUUCAAUAAAAACUCUGUAAUUAAUCAAUUUGAAAUGCAGGAAAAACCGUAACUGCUCACACCACAUACCACACCCUAAACAAAAGACAUUUAUAGAUUCUAAAUUCGGCAUCCGGUAUUGAUCCAUACUCCAUACCAUAGUUCAAUAGCUUUCCCCUUAAAUGGGACCAUGUAUACAUCGUGUAUUUUGGAAGUUGGAACGUCGAAUGUGGAACAGUUUGGCGUGGAAAUCAAAGUGGAAUUGAGCGGAGUCAUCCACCGUAGAAUUUGCCUCCAGGCAGGGUAAUGGAAGGGAAACGAGGAAUUCAAUUGUAACAAAUAUGAAAACUUUUCCAGUUCUACUUUCGCGAUAUUCAUUUAACUCUUGGCAGCGGUUAUUGCCAGAAACGGACGUCAUAAGACCCUAUAAAAAUACUGCCUACAAGUUUUUUCCUGUUCCUACAAGGAUUAGAGUAAAAGAUCAACUCUUCAUCUGGGAGAAGAUGGCUUUCUCUUAAAUUUCAAAAGUUCCCCCCAAAUACUAUACAUUUUGCUAUUUCAACCGACCUCCACCAGAAGAUGACUCUUUUACAUACACAUACACUAGCCACCCCGAUUUAUCUGACCUUUAAUGAUUACAAUUAAGAAGAAUGUGAGUGUGUGAACUGUGGGCGGAUGAGACGGUAUACAUCUGGCCACCGCAUUGGAUUUAAUGAUGAAUAAAAGCAUGUCGUGACAACCA